rnacentral:rRNA from 1 species
AGCGAACGCUGGCGGCAGGCUUAACACAUGCAAGUCGAGCGGGCACUUUCGGGUGUUAGCGGCGGACGGGUGAGUAACGCGUGGGAACGUGCCCUCUGGUUCGGAAUAACUCAGGGAAACUUGAGCUAAUACCGGAUACGCCCUUUUGGGGAAAGGCUUGCUGCCGGAGGAUCGGCCCGCGUCUGAUUAGCUAGUUGGUGAGGUAACGGCUCACCAAGGCGACGAUCAGUAGCUGGUCUGAGAGGAUGAUCAGCCACACUGGGACUGAGACACGGCCCAGACUCCUACGGGAGGCAGCAGUGGGGAAUAUUGGACAAUGGGCGCAAGCCUGAUCCAGCCAUGCCGCGUGAGUGAUGAAGGCCUUAGGGUUGUAAAGCUCUUUUAUCCGGGACGAUAAUGACGGUACCGGAGGAAUAAGCCCCGGCUAACUUCGUG